GGAAAAAGAGAGGAAAAAAGGAAAGAAGAAAGAAAGAAGAAAUGGAAAGAAAAAAAAUAAAAAUUACAACAGCUGGGCCAACCCGACCCGACGACCCGGGUCUGACCCGAAUAGUAGACCUGACCCGUGCUGCCAGCAGGCCACACCACCAGCAACAGCAGGCCUGCUCCAAGAAAAAAACCAAAAAAGAAACAGCAAAAAAACAAUAGGCCAGCAACUAGAAAAACAAAGCAGGCCCAAACCAAGCCCAGUGCAGCCCAAUCCAGCAGCAGAUUCAACCCAACAAGAAGCUGGCCACCCCAAGCCAGCACCAGCAGCCCAGGCCCGCGCGCCAGCCCAGCAGAGAGGAAAAAAGAAAAAAGAAAGAAAGAAGAAAAAAAAGAGAAAAAAACAGAAGAAAAAAAGAAAAAAGAAAAAAACAAGAAAAAAGGGGUUCAAUUUUGUGUUACCCGUUCGGUGAAGCUCGUGUCUCGAGAUUUUUCGACAUCUCAUUAUGAAGGUAUUGGUUAAAGAUUGGUUGCCAAAAACGGGUUUCUGAUGGAGAAGUCAAUUACACAAGUAACCGAGAAAAAUGCCGUAGUCCGAGACUGGUCUUUGAGGACCCAAAAAGCAAAAGGGGAUAGUUUAAAAGAAAGAUAUAUCUCCGAUCUUCCUGAGCAUAUGACUUCGAACGCUUUACAGAAUAACUUCGAAGACUUGACUAGGAUCUGGAAACAAUGAGACUCAAACACUAUGAGCAUCUUCAUCGACAAAAUAUUUUGUAAUCGACUCUUUUGAUAAUUGAAACGCCAAAAUAUGGGGCUAUCUUGAAAUCAACACCAUUUUUUGCA